GGAGACACCACGCCUCUGCUGGCGACGGGACAUUAUUACUUUUGGUACGCGCUGUGACACUUCAAACUCGUACCGUGAGUAAUAAUGCGCUGUCGGCAGCCUGGCCUCAAGAGUGCGAC
rnacentral:pre_miRNA from 12 species